rnacentral:lncRNA from 1 species
CAGAAGAUAUGUGGCAGUGCCGCUGUAUGUAGGUAUGUAGCUUUGCUUGUAUAUAUGUGUGUGUACGCAUGAAUAUAUAUAUAUAUAUAUAUAUAUAUAUAUAUAUAUAUAUAUAUAUAUAUAUAUAUAUAUAUAUAUAUAUAUAUAUAUAUAUAUAUAUAUAUAUAUAUAUAUAUAUAUAUAUAUAUAUAUAUAUGUAUGUAUAUAUAUAUAUACAUAUAUAUAUAUAUAUAUAUAUAUAUAUAUAUAUAUAUAUAUAUAUAUAUAUAUAUAUAUAGGCUCAGUGGUUAGAGCGUCGAGCUUACGAUCGUGAGGUUGUGAGCUCGAAUCCCGGACCGGGCUGCGUGUUGUGUUCUUGAGCAAGACACUUUAUUUCACGUUGCUCCAGUUCACUCAGCUGUAGAAAUGAGUUGCGACGUCACUGGUGCCAAGCUGUAUCGACCUUUGCCUUUCCCUUGGAUAACACUGGUGGCGUGGAGAGGGGAGGCUGGUAUGCAUGGGCGACUGCUGGUCUUCCAUAAACAACCUUGCCCGGACUUGUGUCUAGGAGGGUAACUUUCUAGGUGCAAUCCCAUGGUCAUUCAUGACCGAAUGGGGUCUUUACUUUUAUAUAUAUAUAUAUAUAUAUAUAUAUAUAUAUAUAUAUGUAUAUAUUUACAUGGAUAUACAUUUGCUGAAACGUAUAUAUAUAUAUAUAUAUAUAUAUAUAUAUAUAUAUUCUCACAUCCAUGAACGCACACAUGUCUAAAAUUCAUUUGAAGCCCCACCGAAGAACACAAGAGAUUCCUUCACAUUCACCAAUUAAUGCCGUUAUAGUAUUUACAGUUUACCUGUGUGUACCUCAAUUAAUUCAUCGUGUUAGAAUGCCGCCUGACUUCGUAUAAAACCGUUUAUUGUAAUUUGAGUUAUAUGUGGCUGCUAUUUUCACCACGUAUGCAGGUCAGGUACAAGCUUCUGUUACCUAUUCCAAAUGGCGGAAUUGGCACUGAGUGUAUUUUGGAAUCUGUCAUUUACUGCGAGCAAAGGUAGAUUUGUUUAUACGUAUUUGUUUAUACGUAUAUAAAGACAAAAGACAGCAACAGGUGAGAGCAAAACAAUCAAAGUGUAUUAUUUUGACGCUGAGGAAAAUGGAAGUGUUUUUGACGUUUCAGGCCCAUGCUCUUUUACAGAGAAGAAUGAGGAAAGUAAAGGUGUAUGAAAUAGAUACAUACAUAAACACACACAUUUAUGCAGACAUACAUGCUGGGGUAUAAGUUUCAAGGAUAUUUAGUCGAGAGAAUCGAACCCGGGACCUAUUUUAUAAACCAGGUGCUUUUUCUGUCUGUUUUGCAGACAAAAUUAAUUUCCUGGGACGUCAAGAAACCAACACCGGUUGUCCAGCGGUAGUAGGCGACAAAAACAACACACACACACGUACACACACACACACACACACAAACCUUUGGGCACGAGGCUAUAGUAGAAAGCACUUGCACAAGGUGCCUCGCAGUGAGACUGAACCCAGAACAAUGUGGUCAGGAAAUAAGCUUUGUAGCUCACAGCCACUCUGGCUCCUAUAUAUAUAUAUAAACAAAUAAGGAAGUAGCAUGAAACAAUUGUACUACACUACCUUGGAUAUCCUUGUUGCUUAUUUUGAUUAUAUUCACCCCAUUUGAUUUAUAUGGACAAUACCAUACAAAAUUCUGGUGCCUUUAACUUAAGUACCAUAUUUAUCUGAAUCUAAAUUUUGCUGAACUUAUAUAUAUAUAUAUAUACACACGUGUAUGUAUAUAUAUGUAUGUAUAUAUAUAUAAGUUCAGCAAAAUUUAGAUUCAGAUGAAUAUGGUACUUAAGUUAAAGGUACCAAAAUUUUGUAUGGUAUUGUCCAUAUAUAUAUAUAUAUGGUUGAAGAAUAUGAGGAGAGACACUGUUCAUAAAAUGAAGUUAUGGAUUACUUGAUAUCGUCAAUAAAAUAAUAUUGCAUCACUUGUUAUAUUGACUUAGCAGUAUCACUGGUAUUCCAUUUGAGUAUCCUUGUAGCCAAAUACACGCGAGAGAGCUAUUGAGUUAAUUACCAUACAUACAUACAUAUAUACAUACAUACAUACAUACAUACAUACACACACACACACAUACAUACAUACAUACAUACAUACAUACAUACAUACAUACAUACAUACAUACAUACAUACAUACAUACUUACAUCUGGGAUACGUAACACACUGGCUAAAUACCAAUCUUGAUAAAUCAGGUUUCUCAAAACCAGACAGAAGAAAGCUAAUUCGAAGACUACAGAUCCAAUCCAUCACUGGAACUGUAAAAAUCUGUAAAACUUCCCAGAAGUUUAUCAUUUAAAUAUAUAUGAGCAUGUCUAGAUAUGCAACUACAUGCAUGAGAACUCAAACAUAAAACAUACAAAUCUGCACAUACAUACAUACAUACAUACAUACAUACAUACAUACAUAGAAACACACAAAAGUACCCUGUUAUUGAUGUUAAAAUUCUAAUGAAGGAGCCUUCGAUCUAGGUUAGAAACCGGUUCUUUUUUAUUGGUAAGAAAUCUUAUAUAAAACUGAACAAUGACAUAGAUAUGAAUGUAUAUUCAUAUCUAUAUUAAUGUUUGUUUUGAUGUGUUACUCUAUACUUUUGUAGAAUAGAGAUUUAUUGUUCUUAAACAAGAAUAUUAUUUAUAGUAACCUCGAAGUUUCGGCCAGCUAAGCUAUAUAUAUAUAUAUAUAUAUAUAUAUAUAUAUAUAUAUGCAGAGAGAAAGAGAGAAGUGCAUACAUAUAUACAUAUAUAUAUAUACAUAGGUACAUCUAUCUAUCUAUCUAUCUAUCUAUCUAUCUAUCUAUCUAUCUAUCUAUCUAUCUAUCUAUCUAUCUAUCUCUGUCUCUCUGACUGUCUGUCUGUCUAUCUAUCUAUAUAUAUAUAUAUCUAUAUCAAUUUACGCACACACAUGCCUAAACACACAUAAAUGUUAAUAUAUCCAUGCAUAUACAUAUAUAUAUAUAUAUAUAUAUAUAUAUAUAUAUAUAUAUAUAUAUAUAUAUAUAUAUAUAUAUACAUAUAUAUAUAUACAUGCAUAUAUGUGUGUGUAUCCAUAUAUGUUUAUGCGCGUGUAUGUCUAUGUGUGCAUACAUAUGUAAUUUAAAUAUCAGGUUAGAUUACAGAUGUAUGGAGGAUAUGAACAAAAGUUAGUAACAAGAUGCUACAUGGAAUAUAAAUGAAUUUACAUUUGCUUUGUUUAUGACCAGCACGAAUAAUGUCCGUGACUUAGCGUCAACGAUUGAUGACUAAUGUUUAACUAAUGAGUAAGAGUAGUGACUGUAACUAGUGACUAUGGUUAGUGACUAUGAAUGGUGUUUAAGACUAGUGUCUAAAAGUAUUAAGUAUGAUUUACUAAGUAUAACGACUCUACUUCCUAGAACAUAUGCUGUGAUGUACAUCUGGAAAAUCCUGGAAGCUUGUCUACCAAGCUUUGGCAUUGGAAGUUACACAACCAGCAGAACGGUUCGCCACUGCAUAGUACCAAAAAACCCAACAUUGCCAUCAGUACACAGGACCAGUUAGUGUAACAGAUUGGGUUUCAAGCGACCAUAGCUCUUCAAUACCCUUCCCCGAAAGCCUGAGAGAUCUUCGUUGGGUGAAAGUUUGUUUCUUCUAAACAAAACUGGAUCUCCUCCUAUCAAGAGUUUCGACUGAGCCUCCCUUACGGCAGGAAACGCAGAUGAGGGCAGCAGCAUCAAAGUCCCUGAUUCACCAAAUGCCACAUGUUAGAGGAGGUUUCAAGUAGUGAAAGUGUAGCAAAGCUAAUGGCGAUGCUCCAGCAUGGCCGCAGCUCUCGAGUUGAAACUAGCUAAAGAGUUAAAGAGUUAUAUUAGCUAUGACAGGUUACUAUGUUUGAACAUUAUGAGUCAAAGUCAUGACUAUUGAUUAUAACUUGUGAUUAAUGAAUAGUGAAUAUGGUUAGUUACUAUGACUAAUGACUGGCACUAAAAGACCAUGAUUUAUGAUUAUGACUAGUAGCCAUGGUGAGUGACUCUGAUUAGUAGCAGUGCAAGUGACUAUAACGAAUAUUUCUGACUAGGGAUCGUGAUUGUGCCUAUUGUUUAUGACUGGAGACGAUGAUUGUUAUGGCCAGUGAUUAUGACAGAUUACUAUGAUUAAUGAUUGAUCACCGCAAGCAAAAAACUGUUUGAUUUUCGGGACUAAUGACUGACAAUUGCUACUGAAAACAAUCAUGAUAAAAAUGGUGGUUUUAACGCGAUGAUGGUUUAGCAGUUUUUGUCCUACACAGCCACAAAUCGUUUAGCAGGGAUAAAAUAAUCAGCGUAAAUAUCAAUAUUUAUGAAGUUCACUAUUACACCAAUGUAAGAAUUGUUUACUGUUUCGAUCCCGCAACAGUGGAUCUGACUAUUAGCAAAGAGUAUCCUUAUAAAAAAAUCAAAUGAGGACACAGUGUUUUCUAUCUUUUAUCUUUUGCUUGUUUCAGGCAUUUGACUGCGGCCAUGCUGGGGCACCGCAUUGAAGAAUUUUUAGUUGAAUGAAUUGACUCCUGUGCUAUUUUAACCCCUUUUUAAAAAUUCUAUCUGGUCUCUCUUGUCGAACUGCUAGGUUACAGAGACAUAAACAAUCAAAAAUGGCUGUGAAUCUGUGGUGGGAGACAGACACACAUACUUACAGGCACGAAAGGAUUCUUUAAGUUUACGUCCACCAAAUCCACUCACAAAGCUUUGUGGCCCGUAGCUAUAGUAGAAAACAUUUGCCCAACCAUAUGGUUGAGAAGCUAACUUCUUACCACACAGCCACGCUGCACUUAUAUUUAUAUGCAUAUAUAAUAAAUGAGUAACAAAGAUGUAUAAGUGUCAAAUCAUUACGGCCGUUUCGAGCGACUGAUUUAAUUGAUCAAUGAAACCAUUUCAUCAUUACAAAAAAUGACCUACUGUUUUGGUGUUGAUAUAACCUGAUGUAAAGUUCCAUUUUCUUAGAUAGUAGAACGGUCUGUCAUGAUACUAAUUAAUUCAUGACUCCCUCAAGAUCUGAUUUUAGAUGUUUUGAAGACUACAUUCUCCCUAUUGCCUUCCAUAUGUAGAUAAUGGGGCCACUACUUUCAUUCAUCCUUCUCCCCCAUUCUAGUCUAUGCUAAUUUCUGGUUUGUCUGUCGCUGUACUGUCUUCUUUUUCAUUCUUUAAUAGCGGAAUCAUUGUAAAUAUUUGCACUCUGUUGAUGAUACGAAUAUGUUUAUAUAUCUAACUUGUCCUUUGUGCUUCAGGUCUAUGCGGUCACCUGAUGAGAACGGCUUUCUUCGUAAGGAAUUGACAGUAAUGAAUACAUCUUUGUUACUUAUAUUUUACUCACCUAUCCUGGAAUCUGCUCUUCCGAAGUAUUUAGAAAGUAUAUUUGUAUAAAGUACAUGUCUGAAUAAACAAGAGCAGAUUUAUUCACUAAGUUCACUAAGUAUUCACUAAGUUGGAUCGUUCCAUCAGCAUACACUGCAUCACCUAAUACUGAAUGUGCAAAUAUGUUCGUCCUAACGAAAGGUGCCUCAAUUUAAGUACCCUAUUCAACUGACUCUAAAUUACAUUUUUAUGUUUAUGUAUGUAUAUAUAUUAUGUAUAUAUAUAUAUAUAUAUAUAUAUAUAUAUAUAAGAGAACAAAGUGUACGUACACCGCUAUGUAUAUAUAUAUAUAUAUAUAUAUAUUAAAUAAAAUACAUUAUGGGACAAGAACGCAAAACAUUAGGACAACUAAGUGAUACAAAAAGGGCCAACAAAACAUCCAGAUAGACGAUACAAAAAAACAAGGACGGGUCAUUCGAAGCAUUUUAUCCUCAGUCAAGAAUCGGAUCAUCCUCGCAAUUUCGGCUGAUUAAUCUUGAGAUUGAUUCAAUCUGGCCAGUCCCAAGGAAAAACUAAGCUAAGAGCAUUAGAUUCCUUGGAAAAAAGCAUCGAAUAUAUACGAAAACAAGAACACACAUAUAUAUACUAGCAGUAUCGCCUGGCGUUGCUCGGGUUUGUAAGGGAAAUAACUAUAAAGCAUUUUUAGAGAGUUAUAGCCAAAAAAUGGAAAAAAAAUGAUGGUAAAUUUUUUUUUUAGUUAAAAUGGUCGAGUUGCGUCCCCUAGACAGUCUGUGGUUUGUGUUUCUGAUUCUCGACCCCAUGUCGAAUUUAUCGAUUUUUUUCAGAACUGGGGGAACUUUUCAAAAUUUUCGCUGCGUUAGUUUUGAAUUAUGACAUUGGGCUAUGUGUGUGUCAAGUUUCAUCAGAAUCGGUUGAAAGCCGUGGUCAGGGUGAGGGUACAAGCAAACAGACACACACAUAGCCCAAUGUCAUAAUUCAAAACUAACGCAGCGAAAAUUUUGAAAAGUUCCCCCAGUUCUGAAAAAAAUCGAUAAAUUCGACAUGGGGUCGAGAAUCAGAUACACACACAGACAAACUGCCGUUUAUAUAUAUAUACAUAUAUAUAUAUAUAUAUAUAUAUAUAUAUAUAUAUAUAUAUAUAUAUAUAUAUAUAUAUAUAUUCAACUGACUCUAAAUCACGUUUUAUGUCUAUGUAUGUAUAUAUAUUAUGUAUACACACACAUAUAUAUAUUUAUAUCUAUCUAUCUAUCUAUCUAUCUAUCUAUCUAUCUAUCUAUCUAUCUAUACACACGCACGCGCGCGCGCGCAGACACAAAAAGACAGAGCAACUGUAGCAAUGAUAACUACGACACCGUAAACGCUGUCGUAGAAUUAUACAAAGCAGAAGAAUCUCCGACUUAUUUUUUGACUGGGAUAUUUUGAAUUAUGGAACCGAAUAUAACGCCGCACUGUCACGAAGCAGUUUCAUUGACAAAGUACAAUAAAAGAAAAGCGCUCACAAAUAACAAACACAAAAAGCGAAAAAUAUAACAUGGUUCAAUCCACCUUAGAAAAUUAAUGUAAGCACCGACAUAGCUUGGAAUUUUUCUCUUUGUUAAAUAUACAUUUCCCUAUAUGUAUAAGUAUCAAAAACGCUUCAAGAAGUACAACUUUAGAAGUAGCUAUAGUUGCCUGGAUUACAUUCCUUUACAAAUCUUCCAUCGAUAUCUUGGAGAAACACCCACUUAAGUCCGACUGAACAGACAACUUGCAUCCCCAGAUGCAACCAUUCAACAUUUCAAAAAGGACGGCAGUACAUAGAGCAACUAUAGGAUUUACGAAUUUUAUUGAGAAGAAUUAUACAGAAAUUUGGAGAAUAGUUUUAUGAUUAGAUAAAACUUGCACAAGCAUUAAUUUUAAACAAGAGAUAGAUUAAUUCCACGUCCCUAGAGACAAGAUCAUGGAUAUGACAAACCUAUACACUUUGGAGGGAUCCAAUAUAUGUCUCUCCGAAAACUUUAUUGGUCAUAUCAUUGUCCCACAGAUCAUUGAUCUAGAAGUUCGAAAUUUUGAUUUUGUGUCGAGACAAAACAGAAUUCAUAUGUUAGUCAUUGAAUAUACACAAUCGUGUUAUUCAUUAUAAUUGGUCAUCCUAUAGCACUAAUUUAUUCUAAUGCCUGGAUAACAGAGUUAUCCACUAGCGCUAAAUACAUCGGAUAGGGAGCGUAGCAGCUCCUGAAUAUCACUGCAGAUAACCAAUGAAAUUUGACGUAACCGGCGUCCCCUUUCAGCUCAAGCUACCAUUUUUGAAGUCUGAACGAAUCGCACGCAGUGAAAAACUCCGAAAAGCUAUGAAGUUAAUCCUAACUUUUUACCAUAUGAACCGAGCAGCAAUUUUUUGUGGCAUUGACCAACAGCUGUGUAUAUCUAUCUAUCUAUCUAUCUAUCUAUCUAUCUAUCUAUCUAUCUAUCUAUCUAUCUAUCUAUCUAUCUAUCUAUCUGUCUGUCAGUCUGUCAGUCUGUCUGUCCGUCUGUUCGUACGUAUAUACAUACACACACAUAUAUAUAUAUGUAUGCCAACAAAUGUGUAUGUAUAUAUACAUAUAUACAUAUAUAUAUAUAUAUAUAUAUGUAUAUACACGUACGUAGAUACAAACACAUAUAGCUCACACACCACACAUACACACAUGCAUUAACGUAUACACAUCUAUUUAUAUGAACAGGAACACACAAUCAUAUAUUAUCAUAUGUACACACACAUGUAUAUAUAUAUAUAUAUAUAUAUAUAUACAUAUAUACAUAUACGUUGGUGUGAUUAUGUAUAUAUAUAUAUACAUUUAUAUAUAUAUACAUAUAUGUAUAUAUACAUAUAUAUAUAUAUAUAUAUAUAUAUAUAUAUACAUAUAUAUAUAUAUAUAUAUAUAUAUAUAUAUGUAUAUACAUAUAUAUAUAUAUGUGUGUGUGUGUGUAUAUAUAUAAAUAUCCAUGUAUGCAUGUAUGUAUAGAUUUAAACACACAGACAUGCAAGCACAUAUGCCGCGAGUACGCGUGCGCGCAUUUAUGCGUGUGAGUGUGUGUGUGUGUGUGUGUGUGUGUGUGUGUGUGUGUGUGUGUGUGUGAGUGAGUGUGAGAGAGACAGUGAGUAUAUAUAUUGAAAAUAUGAUUAUAUGACAUUAUUACGAAAUUAGUUAAAUGCAGAGAACGAGGGAGAAAGAAAGGGACGAAGAGAGAGAGAGAGAGAGAGAGAGAGAGAGAGAGAGAGAGAGAGAGAAAAGGAGAGAGAGAGAAUCGAUAAGAAAAUAAUAAUUUUUAUUAUGUAAACUUCUAUUGAUUCUAUUAUGGCGUAUUAUAUUAUAUUAUCGACCAAAUAUAUUUGCUGUAAUCACUAUGUUUUGAUAUUUACAAUAUAUUAGUCGCGUCUAAUUCCCAUAAACACAUGCGUAUACAUUCAUACAUACAUAUAUACAUAUAUAUCGACAUAUAUAUAUAUAUAUAUAUAUAUAUAUACUUGCAUAGAAAUAUAUAUAUACAUAUAUGCAUAUAUACAUGCAUGUAUAUAUAUAUAUAUAUAUAUAUAUGCAUAUAUACAUAUAUAUAUAUAUAUAUAUAUAUAUAUAUAUAUAUAUAUAUAUAUAUAUAUAUAUAUAUAUGCAUAUAUACAUACUGAUAUAUAUAUAUACAUGCUGAUACAUACAUAAAUAUAUAUUAUAUAUAUACAUUUAUGCAUGUAUAUGUAGUAAUGGCUAUUUGCAUCUAUCUAUCCAUCUAUCUAUCUAUCUAUCUAUCUAUCUAUCUAUCUAUCUAUCUAUCUAUCUAUCUAUCUAUCUAUAUAUAUAUAUAUACAUAGAAACACGCAUACAAACAUGCAUACUUGCAUCCAUAUAUAUAUUUAUAUAUAUAUAUAUGUGUGUGUGUAUGUAUGUGUGCAUGAAUGUAUAUCCGCAUACACAGACGUGCAUGCAAAUAUAAAUACAUAUGCACACAUACGCAGAUACGUACAUAAGACAUACAUGCAGACAUUCAUUGAUACAAACGUAUGCCUAUAAACGUAUGGUGUGCAUAGGUCAAGCGAUGUGAGGUAUGUAAAAACUGAUUUACCUGAACGUCUAGAAUUGCAGGGGUUUUCCAAGAAAGAACAAAGCAAAAGGUCUCGCUCCGUCCAAAUUCAGUUCAUUGGGGGUUUGGCGCUGGUUUGAAAAGCGUCCCAAAGACACUCCAUUUCUAUGAUCUGAAAUGAAUUACCCAAAAGAUGCAUUCAAAUUUGCCACGCGGCACGCACGCGCACACGCACGCACACACACACACACACACACACACACACACACACACACACACACACCCAUCCACAAAAUACGAACACGAUAAUAUAUGCAUCUCUAUGCAUGAAUACAUGCAUAUGUAUACAGUAAUAACAAAUUUAUAUAUAUAUAUGUAUAUAUAUGAUCUAUAUGUAUAUAUAUAUAUAUAUAAAAAACACAAACAUACACUCACACACACACACACACAUACAUAUAUAUAUAUAUAUCACGUGACCAAUCAGGCUAUCAGAUGUUAGUCACAAUGCGCUUUUGCAAGGUUUUGGUCAAGAUUCACCCAAACCCGAUCGAAAGAUGGGUUCUUGCAAAGGGAAAUGAAUUGUUUUGCCCAAGAACACAACGCGCCGCCCAGUCAAAGAAUUGAAACCACAAUCUUGCGAUUGUGAGAACAACAGUCUAACCAUUAGGCCAUGCGCCUUCAUAUCUACGUAUAUAUAUAAAUAUACAUGCGACACAAAUACUUACAUAAUGCAUAUAUUCAGAUAUAUACAUAUUCAUAUUUGUCUAUAGAAAUACCAACGCAAAUUAAUGUAUACAUAUACACACAUACAAGGUAAUUCUAUGCAUACAUACAUACAUACAUACAUACAUAUAUAUAUAUAUAUAUAUAUAUAUAUAUAUAUAUAUAUAUAUAUAUAUAUAUAUAUAUAUAUAUAUAUAUAUAUAUAUAUAUAUAUAUAUAUAUAUAUAUAUAUAUAUAUAUACUCGCAUGUGUGUAUACAUAACUAUCUGUCUAUCUAUCUAUACUCGCAGCUGUUUAUGCAUAUACAUCCAUAUAUAUGUAUGUAUGUAUGUAUGUAUAUAUGUAUAUAUAUUUCUUUAUUACCCACAAGGGGCUAAACAGAGGGGACAAACAAGGACAUACAGAGGUAUUAAGGCGAUUACAUCGACCCCAGUACGUAACUGGUACUUAAUUUAUCGACCCCGAAAGGAUGAAAGGCAAAAUAUAUAUAUACAUAUAUAUACGGGCACAUGCAUAUAUAUUUAUCUCUCUUUUUAUCUCUAUCUUUAUACACACCCAGAAGGGCUCACGCAUAUAUGCGUUGCCUGUUGCACAUUCUAAAAAGGUUUCAGCUAAGAGCGAAGACCAUGCAUCUUCGUUAAGAAUAUUCCAACAUCAAAAACAGAAACACAAAGAGACAGACAGAACGAAAUAGUCUCACAUAUUUAAAUAUACAACCAUAAACGUAAGAUAACUGCACACACACACACACACACACACACACACACACACACGUGUAUAUAUAUAUAUGCAUAUAUAUAUAUAUGCAUAUAUAUAUAUAUAUAUAUGAUAUGUAUUAUAUAUUCAUAUAUAUUAUAUAGCAUAAAUAUACACAUAUGCACAUAGAUACAUGUGCUUGCGUGUUUACUAAUGAAUAUAUGUAUACAUCAUAUAUAUAUAUAUAUAUAUAUAUAUAUGUUUAUAAACAUAUAUAUAUAUUUAUAUAUAUAUAUAUAUUUAUAUAUGUAUAUGAAUAUGUAUCUCUCUCUCUCUCUCUCUCUCUCUCUAUAUAUAUAUAUAUAUAUAUAUAUGUAUGUCUAUAUCUACAAACACACACACAUAUGUAUACUCAUAUCAUGACAUAGAUGUAUGCAUGCAUUCAUACCUAAGCUUGUAUGUAUAUAUGUAUAUGUGCACGUUUGUAUGUAUGUGUGUAUGUAUGUAUGUAUAAUACCUAAUAUUAUAGUUUGAAUAUGUAUCUGUAUAUGUAUAUCAUAUGCAUGUAUGCAUGAAUAUAUAUAUUUAUAUAUAUAUAUCCAUUUAUCUAUAUCUCUCUCUAUAUCUAUACGUACAUACACACACAUUCACAGACACAUAUAUGUAUAUAAAUAUAUAUGCACCUUUGUACAUGUAUAUAUAUAAUAUACAUACAUACAUAUAUGUAUAUAUAUAUAUAUAUAUAUAUAUAUAUAUAUAUAUAUAUAUAUAUAUAUAUACAUACAUACACGCGUAUAAAUACACACGAAUAUAUCUUUGCUUGUAUCCAUGUACUAUGUAUAUAUAUUUCUGUACCAGACUUACAAAUCUCUCUCUCUCUAUCUCUCUGUCUCCUUCAUUCCCUGCUUAAAUGUAUGCAUGCCCACAUACAUACAUAUAUACAUACAUAUAUACACUCUCACACGUACGUGCACCAACACACACACACAAUAUUACCGUUCGGUAUUCCUACAAGUUUCGUUGCUAACAUGUUUAUAUAUACAUACAUACACAUAUAUGCAUAUAUAUAUAUACAUAUAUAUAUAUAUAUAUAUAUAUAUAUAUAUAUAUAUAUAUAUAUAUAUAUAUAUAUAUAUAUAUAUAUAUAUACGUGUAUGUGUGUGUGCAUAUAUAUAUAUAAUGAAUAUAUGUAUAAUAUAUAUAUGCAUGUUUUAUAGCCAAUGUUUUCUAUAUUUUCCAAUGUUUACCAUAAACAUGAAAUUUACAAAGUAAAUUCUAAGCUGACAAUAUUUAAAUGCAAUACAAAAGAUAGUAAUAACAUUGCUUAUCAUUUAAAAUUAAAUAAUAUAGAUUGUAAUAAGACGUUGUAAUUAUUACUAACGUUACUUAAAUGACUAUCAUUAAUAUACGUUAUUCGUUUACAUUUGCGCACCAAAUAUAUAUAUUACGGUCUCAUAUCGAUCGUGUGUAUAUAUAUUUGCGAGGUACCUUUGUGUUAAUGGAAUAUACUAAAAUAUACUAGUGUAUAUUAGUGCCUGAUAGAAAUUUUUCAGUGAAAUAUGUUGUGAGAAAACAUCAGAUUCGUCUAGUAUUAGGAGCAAUGUAGAGCCUAGGCCCACAGCGAAGCGGAGAAUACAGGAGGGAUUCCAUGGACCAUAUUGGAAAUCGAAACAGCGCUCGGUGUCACCGUCUAAAUACAAUUAGUUUGUCGGAUUGUGCUUGCGUAUGUUUGUGUGUGUGUAUGUGUGUGUGUGUGUGUGUGUGUGUGUGUGUGUAUGUGUGUGUGAGAGUAUAUGUGUGUGUUUGUGUGUAUAUAUUUCGAAGCAUUUUGAGGACGGUUCUGAAAUUUUGGGUGAAAUAACUGUAAAAAUACACAUUGUAAUUAUAUGAGAAAUGCGAAAAAAAUGCAUGCAUGUCAGUCAUAUACACACACACACACACACACACACACACACACACAUAUAUAUAUAUAUAUAUAUGUAUAUAUAUAGGUGGAAACAUAGAAAGGUAGAUAGACAGAUACACACACACGCAAAUAAAUGUAUGUAUAUAUAUGUAUAUAAGAAUGCAUAGCGCACAUAAGUAUAUAUUUAAGUGUAUGAAUAUAUAUAUAUGUAAUAUAUAUGCAUCUCUCUCUCUCUCUCUCUCUCUCUAUAUAUAUAUAUAUAUAUAUAUAUAUAUAUAUAUAUAUGGCCGUAAUAAAAUCAUUGAAAACAAGUAAAAGAGUAACAAAAUAAUACACACACAUACACGCAUGUGUAAAUGUAUAUAAAUAUCGUACGUGUACAAACACACUUAAACAUAUGCAAACAUACAAAGAUAUAUACUCGCAAAUGCAUGUGUAUAUAAUUGGAUAUGUAUGUAUGUAUGUAUAUAUGUAUCUAUCUAUCUAUCUAUCUAUCUAUCUAUCUAUCUAUCUAUCUAUCUAUCUAUCUAUCUAUCUAUCUAUCUAUCUAUCUAUCUAUCUAUCUAUCUAUCUAUCUAUCUAUCUAUUAACUAACUUGGAGACUGAACUAUGUAUACACAAGUACACAAAAAAUAUAAAUACAUAUAUCCAAAAUUAAUUCUACAUUACACGUAUAUAAUUACAUAUGUAUAUGUAUGUAUGUAUGUAUGUAUGUAUGUAUGUAUGUAUGUAUGUAUGUAUGUAUGUAUGUAUGUAUAUAUAUAUAUGUAUAUUUAUAGACACAUGUAUGUAUGUGUGCGUGUGAGUAGGUAUGUGUGUGCGUGCGUGUGUGUGUAAGUAUUUGCAUUUCAGUGCAGAAACAGCUGUAAGCUAAUGAAGUCGAUUACAUCAUUAUGUUUCCCCUUGUCAUUUAUUUAUAUAUUUAUUAUUUCUAUUUCCACAUGUGUAUAUAUGUAUAUAUCUAUAUCUACAUGUACAUCCCUCCAUCCAUCCAUGUAUGCAUGCAUGCGUGUAUGUAUCUAUGAAUAUAGACACAUAGCUAUAUACACACAGACAGAUAGACACAAACACAAAAAUACACACACAUAUAUAGAUACACAGUUGCAUAUAUACAUACAUGCAUAGAUAUAUUGCACAUGUGUAUAUAUAUGUAUACACACUGACAGAUUUGUGCAUAAAAAUGUAUGUAGUUAUGUGUGAAUAUAUAUAUAUAUAUACAUAUAUAUAUAUAUACACACAUAACUACAUACAUACAUACAUAUAUAUAUAUAUAUAUAUAUAUAUAUAUAUACAUAUAUAUGUAUACAUAUAUAUUCAUCUAUCUGUAUACAGACGUACACACACAUAUAUAUGUAUAUAUACACAAAAUAUUAUAAAGAUAGAAGCAUCGUUAUUAUUAAUGUUGAUAAUAAUUUAAAUAUUAAAUUUUUUAUGAUUAUUCUUUCAUAAUAUAUACUAAUAUAUACUAAUAUAUAUAUAUAUAUAUAUAUAUAUAUAUAUAUAUAUAUAACUUGUAAUACAUAUAUACAAAUGCGUAUAUAUGUAUUACUAAAGAAAAUGAAAUAUAUAUGUUUUAUAUUGUAUUUAUAGAUAUAUGUAAAUAUACAAACAUAACUAUUUCCGCAUGUACACCAGCUAUAUGCAGGUAUAUAUAUAUAUAUAUAUAUAUAUAUAUAUAUAUAUAUAUAUAUAUAUAUAUAUAUAUAUAUAAAUAUAUAUAGAUGGCGGUGAGCACUUUGAAUACAUGCUUAUGUAUUGUAUUGUGAUAUGUGUUUAUACUUAUACACUCUCCCGUAGCCUAUCUUUUUAAUAUCAGAGAUUGCACCGAACCAUAAGCGAGACGGUACAUAUGCUCGCAUAUACACCUGUACAUAUAUACAUACAUACACACACUCACAGAUAUAUACAUGAAUCUAUUUGUGUGUGUGUGUGUGAGUGUGUGUGUGUGUGAGUGUGUGAAUAUUACUUAGUGUUUUGUGCGUGUGUAGGUACGUCUGUAUUUCGUUUCUACAUGUGUAUACAUUGAUUAUAUAGAUAUCUAUUGCGAUAUAUUCUGUAUUUGCACUGUGCAUUAUUUUAUACAUUGUGUAUAUUUAUGAGAUUUAAUGGGAAAUAUAUAAACACUAUCCAUAUGUAUGUGUGUGUAUGUAUAUAUAUAUAUAUUCAUAUAUAUAUAUAUGUAUAUAUAUAUAUAUAUAUAUAUAUAUAUAUAUAUAAUAUAUAUAUAUACAUAGAUAUAUAAUAUGUAUACAUAUAUAUAAAUUUAUAUAGAUAUAUUUGUAUAUAUAUAUAUAUAUAU